GUUUCCAGGCACAAAUCCCAUGUAUGUGAAAUAGAUAACUGAAGUUGGCCCAACUAUCUCAGCUGUCAUCUCCAUCCUCUCUCUGACUACCUGGGGAUAAGGAGUGACAAGAGAAUGCCUACGUUUAGAAUGAAGGUGCUUGACAAAGGCUUACCAGGAGCGAUCUUGCAGCUUUUAGCAGGAAUAUCAAGAGCAAAUUGCACAGGAACAAUGGGGAAGCCACCGGAAGGCUGUAAAACAGGAGGAACAUGCUCAGACAAAUGUGUUACAAGGAUUCCUCCUUUUUGUGUGUGAAGAAUGACUUAAAG